rnacentral:lncRNA from 1 species
GAUUUAGAUUUAGGCUUUGGUUAGGGUUUGGUUUAGGAUUUAGGAUUUGAUUUAGGAUUUAGGAUUUGGUUUAGGAUUUAAGGUUUGGUUUAGGAUUUAAGGUUUGGUUAGGGUUUGAUUUAGGAUUUGAUUAGGAUUUGGUUUAGGAUUUAGAAUUUUAUUAGGAUUUGUUUAGGUUUUAAGAUUUAGUUAGUUUUUGGCCUAAAGUUUGAAUGAAGUGCAAUAGGAUUUUAACUAGGAUUAAAUUAAGAUUGAAUUGAGAUGUAUUUGAGAUAUAUUUGUGAUCAUUCUAAUAUUUCUUUAAGAUUUCUUAUUGUUUCUUUGUAAUUCCUUGGAGAUUUCUUUGAAUUUGAUUAAAGCUUGCUUAAUAUUAUUAUGGUCUAAUUAGAA